rnacentral:rRNA from 1 species
GAUGAACGCUAGCGGCAGGCUUAACACAUGCAAGUCGAGGGGCAGCACGGGUAGCAAUACCUGGUGGCGACCGGCGCAAGGGUGCGUAACGCGUGAGCAACAUGCCCUAUACAGGGGGAUAAUCCAGGGAAACUUGGUCUAAUAUCCCAUAGUACUUAGAGGAGGCAUCUUCUAUAAAUUAAAGCUUCGGUGGUAUAGGAUUGGCUCGCGUGACAUUAGCUAGAUGGUGAGGUAACGGCUCACCAUGGCAAUGAUGUCUAGGGGUUCUGAGAGGAAGGCCCCCCACACUGGGACUGAGACACGGCCCAGACUCCUACGGGAGGCAGCAGUGAGGAAUAUUGGACAAUGGAUGGAAAUCUGAUCCAGCCAUGCCGCGUGCAGGAAGACAGCCCUAUGGGUUGUAAACUGCUUUUAUAUGGGAGCAAUAAGGUCUACGUGUAGACUGAUGAGAGUACCAUAUGAAUAAG